rnacentral:rRNA from 1 species
GAUCAUUACCGAAUUGUCAAACGGGUUGUUGCUGGUCUUCAGACGGGGACAUGUGCACGCUCUGUUUACACAUCCCCUCACACCUGUGCACCCUCUGUGGUUCUAUGGGCCGGGGGACCCUGUCUUCCUGCCGUGGUUCUACGUCUUUACACACACUCUGUAAUAAAGUCUUAUGGAAUGUAUGCCGCGUCUAACGCAAUACAAUACAACUUUCAGCAACGGAUCUCUUGGCUCUCGCAUCGAUGAAGAACACAGCGAAAUGCGAUAAGUAAUGUGAAUUGCAGAAUUCAUUGAAUCAUCGAAUCUUUGAACACACCUUGCGCCCCUUGGCUAUUCCGAGGGGCAUGCCUGUUUGAGUAUCAUGAACACCUCAACUCUCAUGGUUCGCCAUGAUGAGCUUGGACUCUGGGGGUUUUGCUGGCCUGCGGUCGGCUCCCCUCAAAUGAAUCAACCUCCCAGUGUUUGGUGGCUCACGGGUGUGAUAAAUAUCUACGCUCGCGGGUGUCUGCCAGGUAACCUUUGGUGACAAAGGUUCGCUGGAGCUCACAGAUGUCUCUCCUCCGCGAGGACAGCUUUUUUGAACGUUCGAUCUCAAAUCAGGUAGGACUACCCGCUGAACUUAAGCAUAUAUA